rnacentral:lncRNA from 1 species
AUGGAACUGCAAGUUGGCGUCCAGGCGCUGGGCCUCUGCAGUGGCGGAGAGGAAGUCCUCCGCCUCGUUGACGACAAUCAGGCAGAGCAGGUCGGGCGAGCCGCCGAGUCACGCGGCGAGGAGGCGGACGAGCACCACCCACUGGUUGGCGUCACACCGCCGCUGAGGUCGACGACGUGGAUGACGCCCCGCUUGGCAUCCAUCACCUUGGUGAUGGACAGGUUGGACACGGCAGCGGCGAGCCGGAUGAUCGGGCACAUCGCGUGGAACCCUUGGCGCGUGGUGGAGAUGGUUGCCGACGGUGUGGCCUGCAUGAGAUGGAGGGAACGGCACACCCCGACACAUGGUAGGAUGAACCGCAGUGCAAGCACCUCGGCGAACGGAGGACACCAGCCGCUGCAUCGACCUUCCCCCGCCGCCGCCGCCGACGAGGUCAACGACGCUACGCAGCCCAUCGUUGACUUGCAUCUGGCAUGUCCCAUCGGCCAAGAAGGCGGCGAUGGACCGCAGAAACCUCACCAUGAGAACGUCCCGUUCCCCGUCACUAGCAAGCGGCUGAUACACCCACCCCCGUGCUCACGGCGGCGUAUGUGGCCACCCCCAGGCGCGCAGCAGCAGGUCCACACGCCCCGAUGCUCGCGGUGGUGGAUCCAGACCCGUGGUCGUGGCAAUGUUAGUCGGGGCAACGGAGGAGGAGGAGACGGUGACAAGGUGGAGGACGUGGAGGACGAGAAGAAUGGGAGGAGGAGGAGGAAGAAGGGGCUCAGAUGGGGCUCGACUAAAUAAUGUCGGCUGG